rnacentral:rRNA from 1 species
AGAGUUUGAUCCUGGCUCAGGAUGAACGCUGACAGAAUGCUUAACACAUGCAAGUCGAUUCGAAAUUUCCUUCGGGGAAUGGAGGAUGGCGGACGGGUGAGUAACGCGUAAGAAACUUGCCUUUUGGACUGGGACAACUGUUGGAAACGACAGCUAAUACCGGAUAUUAUGAAAUUUCCGCAUGGGGAUUUUAUGAAAGCUAUAUGCGCCAAAAGAGAGUCUUGCGUUCCAUUAGCUAGUUGGUGGGGUAAUGGCCCACCAAGGCGACGAUGGAUAGCCGGCCUGAGAGGGUGAACGGCCACAAGGGGACUGAGACACGGCCCUUACUCCUACGGGAGGCAGCAGUGGGGAAUAUUGGACAAUGGGCCACAAGCCUGAUCCAGCAAUUCUGUGUGCACGAUGACGGUCUUAGGAUUGUAAAGUGCUUUCAGUUGGGAAGAAGAAAGUGACGGUACCAACAGAAGAAGCGACGGCUAAAUACGUGCCAGCAGCCGCGGUAAU